rnacentral:snoRNA from 1 species
UGGUCAUUAUCAAGGCUUUUAGAAUGCAGUUUCUCUUUUGCUAUGGACAUGAGUAUAGAAAAGAAUUCCCUCUCGGUUUUCUGUCUUCUACCUUGUUAGCCAUCAACCUAUCAGGAACAUUU